CCUCCCUCCCUCCUGCAGUCACACACACACACUGUCUCUGCUCUGUCCCGCUGUGUGCCAGUCCCGCUCUGCCUCUCCACUCUCAGCUCUCUCCACUCGUCCUUUCUACAUCCCUCCACCGCUUCUCUUCCUCUUAUCACUGAUAGCAAGCCGGAUCUCGGGCCGCUACUUCCACCACCACCAAACUGCCCCCUGGAGAAUUUACUUUCACCUACUUUUUCUUUUUCAAUUCUGCUGUCCUGCACCUUCCCCUCCGGAGAGGCCGGUUGGUGCGUGUCUGGCGCGUGCGAGAGCUCCGGUGUCGCGCUCUUUGCCCCCCCCCCGAGGGAAUCCCUGGCGGUUGUCUGAGUCGGAGGAGAAGAACUUUUUUCGCCACGAUGAACGUUCAGCUGCUGCUGGUGUUGGCCCUGGUCGGCCCUUUCUGUGCCUUUACACAUGCAACUCUGGAGCCAAGGUUUGAUUUGCCGACACCAAAAGGGAAAUGUGACGUAAUAGCCGGAGCUCUGCUGCCUCGUGUCUGCGGCUUUUUUGGCACCGGCCAAGAGAGGAGAAGAAAGGAAUAUCCUUUUGGAUGGCUCCCAAAGCAGUGCUCAUACACGGGGAGGGGAGGGACGGGGCCCCGUAAACAGCAACGCACGCCGCGCACGUUCAUCCGAGAGCUCGUCCUCGGUCGCCUUUCACACUCACUCCUCAUCCUCUCACUUCUCCCACCCUGCAUCAGUGCUUUCUCUCUUCCCCUCGCUUUCUUCCAGUUUGUAUUUUUCCCCUUUCUUUCUCUCUCUUUCUGCUCCCCUCCUUUGCCUUGUGAGGGGGGAGAGUGUGUGUGGGGGGCUGAGGCCUCAGCGAGCUGCAGGGCAGGGCAGGGCGGGUUUGCGUGCAUGUAUUAAUAGAGAGAGGCUCUAUAUUUAAGAGGGUCAUAUGGAUGAGAGACGAGAAGAGAGAGAGAGAGAGAACACCCGAAACGCGACGAGCUUUGGGAGGCGCCCCACCCUCUUCUGCCCGCAUGUUGUCAGGCGAUGCGGCACGCCACCCCUUGCAUUUACCCAUCUUUGGUGGGGUAAUACGCUUACACUUAACCCUG
ensembl:lncRNA